rnacentral:rRNA from 1 species
GGUUAAGCGACUAAGCGUACACGGUGGAUGCCCUGGCAGUCAGAGGCGAUGAAGGACGUGCUAAUCUGCGAAAAGCGUCGGUAAGGUGAUAUGAACCGUUAUAACCGGCGAUGUCCGAAUGGGGAAACCCAGUGCAAUUCGUUGCACUAUCGUUAACUGAAUACAUAGGUUAACGAGGCGAACCGGGGGAACUGAAACAUCUAAGUACCCCGAGGAAAAGAAAUCAACCGAGAUUCCCCCAGUAGCGGCGAGCGAACGGGGAGCAGCCCAGAGUCUGAAUCAGCUUGUGUGUUAGUGGAACGGUCUGGAAAGUCCGACGGUACAGGGUGAUAGUCCCGUACACCAAAAUGCACAGGCUGUGAACUCGAAGAGUAGGGCGGGACACGUGGUAUCCUGUCUGAAUAUGGGGGGACCAUCCUCCAAGGCUAAAUACUCCUGACUGACCGAUAGUGAACCAGUACCGUGAGGGAAAGGCGAAAAGAACCCCGGCGAGGGGAGUGAAAAAGAACCUGAAACCGUGUACGUACAAGCAGUGGGAGCACCUUCGGGUGUGACUGCGUACCUUUUGUAUAAUGGGUCAGCGACUUAUAUUCUGUAGCAAGGUUAACCGUAUAGGGGAGCCGCAGGGAAACCGAGUCUUAACUGGGCGUUAAGUUGCAGGGUAUAGACCCGAAACCCGGUGAUCUAGCCAUGGGCAGGUUGAAGGUUGGGUAACACUAACUGGAGGACCGAACCGACUAAUGUUGAAAAAUUAGCGGAUGACUUGUGGCUGGGGGUGAAAGGCCAAUCAAACCGGGAGAUAGCUGGUUCUCCCCGAAAGCUAUUUAGGUAGCGCCUCGUGAAUUCAUCUUCGGGGGUAGAGCACUGUUUCGGCUAGGGGGUCAUCCCGACUUACCAACCCGAUGCAAACUACGAAUACCGAAGAAUGUUAUCACGGGAGACACACGGCGGGUGCUAACGUCCGUCGUGAAGAGGGAAACAACCCAGACCGCCAGCUAAGGUCCCAAAGUCAUGGUUAAGUGGGAAACGAUGUGGGAAGGCACAGACAGCCAGGAUGUUGGCUUAGAAGCAGCCAUCAUUUAAAGAAAGCGUAAUAGCUCACUGGUCGAGUCGGCCUGCGCGGAAGAUGUAACGGGGCUAAACCAUGCACCGAAGCUGCGGCAGCGACACUAUGUGUUGUUGGGUAGGGGAGCGUUCUGUAAGCCUGCGAAGGUGACCUGUGAGGGUUGCUGGAGGUAUCAGAAGUGCGAAUGCUGACAUAAGUAACGAUAAAGCGGGUGAAAAGCCCGCUCGCCGGAAGACCAAGGGUUCCUGUCCAACGUUAAUCGGGGCAGGGUGAGUCGACCCCUAAGGCGAGGCCGAAAGGCGUAGUCGAUGGGAAACAGGUUAAUAUUCCUGUACUUGGUGUUACUGCGAAGGGGGGACGGAGAAGGCUAUGUUAGCCGGGCGACGGUUGUCCCGGUUUAAGCAUGUAGGCUGAUUGUCCAGGCAAAUCCGGAUAAUCAAGGCUGAGGUGUGAUGACGAGGCACUACGGUGCUGAAGUAACAAAUGCCCUGCUUCCAGGAAAAGCCUCUAAGCAUCAGGUAACAUUAAAUCGUACCCCAAACCGACACAGGUGGUCAGGUAGAGAAUACCAAGGCGCUUGAGAGAACUCGGGUGAAGGAACUAGGCAAAAUGGUGCCGUAACUUCGGGAGAAGGCACGCUGGUGUGUAGGUGAAGUCCCUGCGGAUGGAGCUGAGACCAGUCGAAGAUACCAGCUGGCUGCAACUGUUUAUUAAAAACACAGCACUGUGCAAACACGAAAGUGGACGUAUACGGUGUGACGCCUGCCCGGUGCCGGAAGGUUAAUUGAUGGGGUUAUCCGUAAGGAGAAGCUCUUGAUCGAAGCCCCGGUAAACGGCGGCCGUAACUAUAACGGUCCUAAGGUAGCGAAAUUCCUUGUCGGGUAAGUUCCGACCUGCACGAAUGGCGUAAUGAUGGCCAGGCUGUCUCCACCCGAGACUCAGUGAAAUUGAACUCGCUGUGAAGAUGCAGUGUACCCGCGGCAAGACGGAAAGACCCCGUGAACCUUUACUAUAGCUUGACACUGAACAUUGAGCCUUGAUGUGUAGGAUAGGUGGGAGGCUUUGAAGCGUGGACGCCAGUCUGCGUGGAGCCAACCUUGAAAUACCACCCUUUAAUGUUUGAUGUUCUAACGUUGGCCCCUUACCGGGGUUGCGGACAGUGUCUGGUGGGUAGUUUGACUGGGGCGGUCUCCUCCCAAAGCGUAACGGAGGAGCACGAAGGUUAGCUAAUCCUGGUCGGACAUCAGGAGGUUAGUGCAAUGGCAUAAGCUAGCUUGACUGCGAGCGUGACGGCGCGAGCAGGUGCGAAAGCAGGUCAUAGUGAUCCGGUGGUUCUGAAUGGAAGGGCCAUCGCUCAACGGAUAAAAGGUACUCCGGGGAUAACAGGCUGAUACCGCCCAAGAGUUCAUAUCGACGGCGGUGUUUGGCACCUCGAUGUCGGCUCAUCACAUCCUGGGGCUGAAGUAGGUCCCAAGGGUAUGGCUGUUCGCCAUUUAAAGUGGUACGCGAGCUGGGUUUAGAACGUCGUGAGACAGUUCGGUCCCUAUCUGCCGUGGGCGCUGGAGAAUUGAGGGGGGCUGCUCCUAGUACGAGAGGACCGGAGUGGACGCAUCACUGGUGUUCGGGUUGUCAUGCCAAUGGCACUGCCCGGUAGCUAAAUGCGGAAGAGAUAAGUGCUGAAAGCAUCUAAGCACGAAACUUGCCCCGAGAUGAGUUCUCCCUGAGACUUUAAGUCUCCUGAAGGAACGUU